rnacentral:rRNA from 1 species
UACGAAGGGGGCUAGCGUUGCUCGGAAUCACUGGGCGUAAAGGGUGCGUAGGCGGGUCUUUAAGUCAGGGGGUGAAAUCCUGGAGCUCAACUCCAGAACUGCCUUUGAUACUGAGGAUCUUGAGUUCGGGAGAGGUGAGUGGAACUGCGAGUGUAGAGGUGAAAAUUCGUAGAUAUUCGCAAGAACACCAGUGGCGAAGGCGGCUCACUGGCCCGAUACUGACGCUGAGGCACGAAAGGCGUGGGAAGCAAACAGGAUUAAGAAAACCCGUGGUAACGUCCGAG